UACGUAGGGUCCGAGCGUUGUCCGGAAUUAUUGGGCGUAAAGAGCGCGCAGGUGGUUGAUUAAGUCUGAUGUGAAAGCCCACGGCUUAACCGUGGAGGGUCAUUGGAAACUGGUCGACUUGAGUGCAGAAGAGGGAAGUGGAAUUCCAUGUGUAGCGGUGAAAUGCGUAGAGAUAUGGAGGAACACCAGUGGCGAAGGCGGCUUUCUGGACGAUAACUGACGCUGAGGCGCGAAAGCGUGGGUAGCAAACAGGGUUAGAUACCCCCGUAGU
rnacentral:rRNA from 1 species